rnacentral:rRNA from 1 species
UACGUAGGUGGCAAGCGUUGUUCGGAAUUACUGGGCGUAAAGGGCGCGUAGGCGGCCCGCUAAGUCGAACGUGAAAUCCCCAGGCUCAACCUGGGAACUGCGUCCGAUACUGGCAGGCUUGAAUCCGGGAGAGGGAUGUGGAAUUCCAGGUGUAGCGGUGAAAUGCGUAGAUAUCUGGAGGAACGCCGGUGGCGAAGGCGGCAGCCUGGACCGGUAUUGACGCUGAGGCGGGAAAGCUAGGGGAGCAAGCGGG